GGGUCCGCAUCCUCCUGGACCUGCUCAUCCACCACAAGCCCAUCCACCUCCAGGCCCACCACCAGGCCCAGCACCUCCACCUGGUCCUCAGCCACCUCCUCCUGGACAGCAUGGCCAGCCUCCACACCACCACCACUGAUUAUACAUGCAUGCAUAUGGUUAUGUGCUUGGAGUACUAAGCUUAUAUAGUGAAUAAUAAUAACUUAGCUCUAUCUAUAAUGGGGGUUUGUUAUAGUUUCCCCCGCUCCUUAUAUAUAUUUUACCUUGUAUCACUGUGUGGUUUGUUAUGCCCUGUGUGGUUUGCAUGUAUGUAUAUGCUAGAACGAUAAAUAUUUAAUAAAAAGAUAAAUGUUUUCUGCCUAUGUUGUUUACAUAAUCCAUCUAUAUAUUGUUGGAGCACAAAAUUUAUGGCUUACUUUAAUAAAUCAAAUUAUCAUAUUCCAUUAAAUAUCCCACUUGAAUUGGCCAGGCAAUAUUGGCUAGUUCAUGUAUAAUAAAAAAAACUCUAGUUUUAAAUGGAGUUGCUACAAUUAGACAGUAAAAUUGGUCCUCUCAAGUUAGUC
rnacentral:lncRNA from 1 species